rnacentral:rRNA from 1 species
AGAACGAACGCUGGCGGCAUGCCUAACACAUGCAAGUCGAACGAGCCCUUCGGGGCUAGUGGCGCACGGGUGCGUAACGCGUGGGAAUCUGCCCUUAGGUUCGGAAUAACAGCUAGAAAUGACUGCUAAUACCGGAUAAUGACUUCGGUCCAAAGAUUUAUCGCCUAGGGAUGAGCCCGCGUAGGAUUAGCUUGUUGGUGAGGUAAGAGCUCACCAAGGCGACGAUCCUUAGCUGGUCUGAGAGGAUGAUCAGCCACACUGGGACUGAGACACGGCCCAGACUCCUACGGGAGGCAGCAGUGGGGAAUAUUGGACAAUGGGCGAAAGCCUGAUCCAGCAAUGCCGCGUGAGUGAUAAAGGCCUAGGGUUGUAAAGCUCUUUGCCAGGAUGAUAAUGACAGUACCUGGAGAAUAAGCUCCGGCUAACUCCGUGCCAGCAGCCGC